CGAGCGCACUGGCCCAACUGAUAUGACGUGCUUGCACUGAUUUGACGAUGGAUUACCAGUGAGCGGCGGACGGGUGAGUAACACGUGGGCAACCUGCCCUAAAGCGGGGGAUAACAUUUGGAAACAGGUGCUAAUACCGCAUAACUACGAAAACCACAUGGUUUUCGUAUCAAAGAUGGUUUCGGCUAUCACUUUAGGAUGGGCCCGCGGUGCAUUAGCUAGUUGGUAGGGUAACGGCCUACCAAGGCAAUGAUGCAUAGCCGAGUUGAGAGACUGAUCGGCCACAAUGGAACUGAGACACGGUCCAUACUCCUACGGGAGGCAGCAGUAGGGAAUCUUCCACAAUGGGCGCAAGCCUGAUGGAGCAACACCGCGUGAGUGAAGAAGGGUUUCGGCUCGUAAAACUCUGUUGUUGAAGAAGAACGUGCAUGAGAGUAACUGUUCAUGCAGUGACGGUAUUCAACCAGAAAGUCACGGCUAACUACGUG
rnacentral:rRNA from 1 species